AAAGAUUUAUCCUGUAAUUAGGGAGAACAUCAGCUGAUACAAGGCCAUUCAGGACGAAAAAAAAUUAACGGCUGUGCAAACUGACUUCAUUGGUCAGCUCCCCUCCUCCAGGCACAGAAUGAAAUCCUGACUCUCGAGCCCCCACUCCAUCCUCUCCAGCACGUCUCCAACAUCCUCCUCCGAGGAAUGUCAGCUGCCUUCUUGCCUCACACAUGCCCCUUCCAAUAAGCAAGACACUGAAGCAACAUUAGGACGCAGCCAAAUAUGAAGUUCUUUGUGUUGGCCUUGAUCUUGGCCUUCGUGGUGUCCAUGACUAGAGCCGAUUCUUCAUCUGAGGAGAGAUGGCCCCGCUAUCCACCGUAUGAGCCGCCAUAUCCACAGCCAUAUCCACAGCCAUAUCCACUGCCAUAUCCACAGCCAUAUCCACAGCCAUUUGCACCGUCAUUUUUUCAGCCAGUAUUUAGGCCACGUCCAGCAUUUCCUCCGGGGGUCAUUCCAUUUUAAGAUGAUGUUCAACCACCACAGGACGUGAUCACAAGGUUUGACUGGCAAAUCCAAUUUCUGCACGUGUAUUCUCAUCCCUCAUGACACAUCACAUGGCCAUUAUAUUUUGGCAGAGUUAUAAAAAAACCAAUGUGGAAUGAAAGACGAUGAUUUGGUUUAUUCUCUGUGUACCCUGAUACUUGUUUUCCUACUUGAUCUUUCA